rnacentral:rRNA from 1 species
AUUGAACGCUGGCGGCAGGCCUAACACAUGCAAGUCGAGCGGAUGAAGGGAGCUUGCUCCUGGAUUCAGCGGCGGACGGGUGAGUAAUGCCUAGGAAUCUGCCUGGUAGUGGGGGAUAACGUCCGGAAGCGGGCGCUAAUACCGCAUAAGUCCUGAGGGAGUAAGGGGGGGAUCUUCGGACCUCACGCUAUCAGAUGAGCCUAGGUCGGAUUAGCUAGUUGGUGGGGUAAAGGCCUACCAAGGCGACGAUCCGUAACUGGUCUGAGAGGAUGAUCAGUCACACUGGAACUGAGACACGGUCCAGACUCCUACGGGAGGCAGCAGUGGGGAAUAUUGGACAAUGGGCGAAAGCCUGAUCCAGCCAUGCCGCGUGUGUGAAGAAGGUCUUCGGAUUGUAAAGCACUUUAAGUUGGGAGGAAGGGCAGUAAGUUAAUACCUUGCUGUUUUGACGUUACCAACAGAAUAAGCACCGGCUAACUUCGUG